rnacentral:rRNA from 1 species
CGCAGCCGCGGUAAUUCCAGCUCCAAUAGCGUAUAUUAAAGUUGUUGCAGUUAAAAAGCUCGUAGUUGAAUUUCGGGAUCAGUACGCUGGUCGUGCCUUCGGUAUGCACUGGUGUCACUGGUUCCUACCUUCUGAAGAACCAUCAUGCCAUUCAGUUGGUGUGGCGGGGAAUCAGGACUGUUACUUUGAAAAAUUAGAGUGUUUAAAGCAGGCUCGCGCUUGAAUACAUUAGCAUGGAAUAAUGAAAUAGGACGUUUGACCCUAUUUUGUUGGUUUCUAGGAUCGACGUAAUGAUUAAUAGGGAUAGUUGGGGGCAUUAGUAUUCAAUUGUCAGAGGUGAAAUUCUUGGAUUUAUUGAAGACUAACUACUGCGAAAGCAUUUGCCAAGGAUGUUUUCAUUAAUCAAGAACGAAAGUUAGGGGAUCGAAGACGAUCAGAUACCGUCGUAGU